GCCGUCUUAGCUCAGUGGUAGAGCGCUUGUCUCGUAAUUUAAUUAUUUUAAAUUAAUUUAAAAACGAGAGAACAAGAGGUCAAAAGUUCGAUCCUUUUAGACGGCA